rnacentral:rRNA from 1 species
UUGAUCAUGGCUCAGGACGAACGCUGGCGGCGUGCUUACACAUGCAAGUCGAGCGAGGUCCAUCCAGUCGCAAGACUGGGGAAGACCUAGCGGCGAACGGGUGAGUAACACGUGAGCAACCUGCCCCGAAGACUGGGAUAACACCGGGAAACCGGUGCUAAUACCGGAUGUCCUCCCCUGGUCGCAUGGCCUAAGGAGGAAAGGAAUUUUGCUUCGGGAGGGGCUCGCGGGCUAUCAGCUUGUUGGUGAGGUAACGGCUCACCAAGGCGACGACGGCUAGCUGGUCUGAGAGGACGACCAGCCACACUGGGACUGAGACACGGCCCAGACUCCUACGGGAGGCAGCAGUGGGGAAUCUUGCGCAAUGGGCGAAAGCCUGACGCAGCAACGCCGCGUGGGGGAUGAAUGCCUUCGGGUUGUAAACCCCUUUCAGCAGGGACGAAAAUGACGGUACCUGCAGAAGAAGCCCCGGCCAACUACGUGCCAGCAGCCGCGGUAAUACGUAGGGGGCGAGCGUUGUCCGGAUUUAUUGGGCGUAAAGAGCUCGUAGGCGGCUUGGCAAGUCGGGUGUGAAACCUCCAGGCUCAACCUGGAGACGCCACUCGAUACUGCCAUGGCUAGAGUCCGGUAGGGGACCACGGAAUUCCUGGUGUAGCGGUGAAAUGCGCAGAUAUCAGGAGGAACACCGGUGGCG